GCUAAAGGUUUUUUUUUUUCUCCGGUGUCAAUCUUGCCCUUCACUCUGGGACAAGCCCUGGAAACGGGGUCUAAUACCGGAUAACACUCUGUCCUGCAUGGGACGGGGUUGAAAGCUCCGGCGGUGAAGGAUGAGCCCGCGGCCUAUCAGCUUGUUGGUGGGGUAAUGGCCUACCAAGGCGACGACGGGUAGCCGGCCUGAGAGGGCGACCGGCCACACUGGGACUGAGACACGGCCCAGACUCCUACGGGAGGCAGCAGUGGGGAAUAUUGCACAAUGGGCGAAAGCCUGAUGCAGCGACGCCGCGUGAGGGAUGACGGCCUUCGGGUUGUAAACCUCUUUCAGCAGGGAAGAAGCGAAAGUGACGGUACCUGCAGAAGAAGCGCCGGCUAACUACGUGCCAGCAGCCGCGGUAAUACGUAGGGCGCAAGCGUUGUCCGGAAUUAUUGGGCGUAAAGAGCUCGUAGGCGGCUUGUCACGUCGGAUGUGAAAGCCCGGGGCUUAACCCCGGGUCUGCAUUCAAUACGGGCUACUAGAGUGUGGUAGGGGAGAUCGGAAUUCCUGGUGUAGCGGUGAAAUGCGCAAAUAUCAGGAGGAACACCGGUGGCAAAGGCGGAUCUCUGGGCCAUUACUGACGCUGAGGAGCGAAAGCGUGGGGAGCGAACAGGAUUAGAUACCCUGGUAGUCCACGCCGUAAACGUUGGGAACUAGGUGUUGGCGACAUUCCACGUUCGUCGGUGCCGCAUCUAACGCAUUAAGUUUCCCCCCUGGGGAGUACCGCCGCAAGGCU
rnacentral:rRNA from 1 species